AAUUUGUAUUAAUUACAAGCAUUAUCAUGUCCAACCUUUUAUUAGUGUGUCUCUAUGUUCCCUAUAUGCAGUACAUAAUAAUACAGAUACAGUACCAUACGACAAGAUAUAGUCAAAGGAACAUAUAUAGGAAACUAAUAUUAGUACAUGAUGAAAUUUUUGUGAUCGGCUUCGGCCGAUCACAGUUGUGUCCAUCAGAUGAUACAAUGUCCAAGCUUCACGACUCGUUGGCCAUGCUAUUGUAUCCUAAUUCAUAAGCAAUGAUUGGUUUUUGAAAUGAAAUAUAUCCACGAUCCCUUACUUUGUUUUGCAGUGUGUAUUUAUGUUGUCAUGCUUUCAAUAAUGGAUAUUAUUAUUAUGUUACGUAUAAUUAUGCAAUUUACAUACAUUUUGUAAAAUAAUAAAAUAAAGUGGGACUAAAACUC
rnacentral:sRNA from 1 species